GGGAGCAUAGCUCAGCUGGUUCAGAGCAUCUGCCUUACAAGCAGAGGGUCCUUGGUUCGAAUCCGAGUGCUCCCACAA
rnacentral:tRNA from 1 species